rnacentral:lncRNA from 1 species
AAAGCUAUCAUCACUGCUUGUCAUACAUAUGACUUCUAUUAGAUCUAUUUUUGAUGAAAACUUCUUUUGAUCUUCUGAAAAAUAGAAAAUGAACGAUUGCAUAUUUCUCAUAUUUUUCAGUCGUACAUACUAUGCUUGAUAUGUUCUUAUGAAAAUAAUGCCAAAUCUGAUAAAGAUAUUUCUAUCCUUGGAUAUCAUUCAUCAAGCAAUGCAUAUAGAAUAUUCAAUGAAAAG